rnacentral:tRNA from 2 species
GCCGCAGUUGCCAACGUGGUCAAGGCGCCUGUCUGAAGAACAGGUUAUCUCAGUCCGAUUCUGGGCUGCGGCA